rnacentral:misc_RNA from 1 species
UCCUACUUUCAUAGGCAGUCCCUCCAGAGUGCCCAUCGUUACAUGCUGGCAACUGAAGAUGGGGGUUGCGCUCGUUGCGGGACUUAACCCAACAUCCCACGACACGAGCUGACGACAGCCAUGCAGCACCUGUGCACGCGCCCCGAAGGGGGGCUCUGCUUUCACAGAGCUUUCACGUGCAUGUCAAGCCCAGGUAAGGUUCUUCGCGUUGCUUCGAAUUAAACCACAUGCUCCACCGCUUGUGCGGGCCCCCGUCAAUUCCUUUGAGUUUCAGCCUUGCGGCCGUACUCCCCAGGCGGGGCACUUAACGCGUAAGCUGCGACACGGAGAGGGCCGAUCCCCCCCGCAUCCAGUGCCCAUCGUUUACAGCGUGGACUAC